rnacentral:tmRNA from 1 species
GGGGGUGUACUGGCUUCGACGUGGGUCGUGAAGCAAAGGGAGCAUACCGGGGCGCAUGUGGACCUCGAUAAAAACGUGCAUAUUACAAUUGCUAACAACAAUUAUCAAUUAGCAGCUUAGUUCUGUUAACGGAUUUGGCGUAGGUCGACGGUGUCGAUGCCUGAUCCGCCGAUAAUGCCGUCUCGGACUUCACUGGUUUCUCUGGAGUGAAGUCUUAAUAGUUAUCCAGGGGAUUGUUGUUCAGGAUUUUGUUUGUGGAGGCCUGAGCAACUUAAUUAAAACAUAAACUAAGUAUGUAGCGCCUUUCUGUGGAACUCUUGCGGACCCGGGUUCAAUUCCCGGCACCUCCACCA